GUGGCUCACGCCUGUAAUCCCAGCACUGUGGGAUACCAAGGCAGGCGCAUCACCUAGGAUUGAGUUUGAGAACAGCCUGGCCAAAAUGGUGAAACCCUGUCUCU